rnacentral:rRNA from 1 species
GAUCCUGGCUCAGGAUGAACGCUGGCGGCGUGCCUAACACAUGCAAGUCGAGCGAGAAACUUAUUUGAAGCGAUUUCGGUCAAUUCUGUUAAGUGGAAAGCGGCGGACGGGUGAGUAACGCGUAGGCAACCUGCCCUUAGCAGGGGGAUAGCCAUUGGAAACGAUGAUUAAAACCCCAUAAUGCGGGAUGUUCACAUGGACGACCCGCCAAAGAUUUAUCGGCUAGGGAUGGGCCUGCGUCUGAUUAGCUAGUUGGUGAGGUAACGGCUCACCAAGGCAACGAUCAGUAGCCGACCUGAGAGGGUGAUCGGCCACAUUGGAACUGAGACACGGUCCAAACUCCUACGGGAGGCAGCAGUGGGGAAUAUUGCACAAUGGGCGAAAGCCUGAUGCAGCAACGCCGCGUGAAGGAUGAAGGCCUUCGGGUCGUAAACUUCUGUCCUUGGGGAAGAAGAACUGACGGUACCCAUGGAGGAAGCCCCGGCUAACUACGUGCC